GGUACGCGAGCUGGGUUUAGAACGUCGUGAGACAGUUCGGUCCCUAUCUGCCGUGGGCGUUGGAAGAUUGAGAGGGUUUGCUCCUAGUACGAGAGGACCGGAGUGAACGCACCCCUGGUGUUCGGGUUGUCAUGCCAAUGGCACUGCCCGGUAGCUAAGUGCGGAAAAGAUAAGCGCUGAAAGCAUCUAAGCGCGAAACUUGCCUCGAGAUGAGUCUUCCCUGGGCCUUUAAAGUCCCUGAAGGAACGUUUAAGACUAAGACGUUGAUAGGCUGGGUGUGUAAGUGCAGCGAUGUAUUGAGCUAACCAGUACUAAUGAACCGUGAGGCUUAACCUU
rnacentral:ncRNA from 1 species